CAAUAGCGUAUAUUAAAGUUGUUGCAGUUAAAAAGCUCGUAGUUGGAUUUCUGGUUGAAGCGACCGGUCGGGCGUUGAUUCGUCUGCACUGGAGUCGGUUUUGGCCAUCCUCUAGGAAAGUGCGUCUGGUAUUAAGUUAUCGGGCGUAUGAUCCUAGUCUUUUACUGUGAAAAAAUUAGAGUGUUUAAAGCAGGCCUUCGCCUUGAAUACAUUAGCAUGGAAUAAUAAGAUAGGACUUUGGUCUAUUUUGCUGGUUUGCAGACCGAAGUAAUGAUUAAUAGGGAUAGUUGGGGGUAUUUAUAUUCCGAUGUCAGAGGUGAAAUUCUUAGAUUUUCGGAAGAUAAACUUAUGCGAAAGCAUUUACCAAGGAUGUUUUCAUUAA
rnacentral:rRNA from 1 species